rnacentral:rRNA from 1 species
AUUGAACGCUGGCGGCAGGCCUAACACAUGCAAGUCGAGCGCGCGGCGGACGGGUGAGUACUGUCUGGGAAACUGUCUGUUGGAGAGGGAUAACUACUGGAAACGCUAGCUAAUACCGCACACCAUCAGAUGUGCGCAGGUGGGAUUAGAUAGUGGGUGGGGUAACGGCUCACCUAGGCGACGAUCCCUAGCGGUGCUGAGAGGAUGACCCGCCACACUGGAACGGAGACACGGUCCAGACUCCUACGGGAGGCAGCAGGGGGGAAUAUUGCGCAAUGGGCGCAAGCCUGAUGCAGCCAUGCCGCGUGUGUGAAGAAGGCCUUCGGGUUGUAAAGCGCUUUCGGCGGGGAGGCGUUACCCACAGAAGAAGCACCGGCUAACUCCGUGCCAGCAGCCGCGGUAAUUC